rnacentral:rRNA from 1 species
GAUGAACGCUGGCGGCGUGCCUAAUACAUGCAAGUCGAGCGAACAGACGAGGAGCUUGCUCCUCUGACGUUAGCGGCGGACGGGUGAGUAACACGUGGAUAACCUACCUAUAAGACUGGGAUAAAUUCGGGAAACCGGAGCUAAUACCGGAUAAUAUAUUGAACCGCAUGGUUCAAUAGUGAAAGACGGUUUUGCUGUCACUUAUAGAUGGAUCCGCGCCGCAUUAGCUAGUUGGUAAGGUAACGGCUUACCAAGGCAACGAUGCGUAGCCGACCUGAGAGGGUGAUCGGCCACACUGGAACUGAGACACGGUCCAGACUCCUACGGGAGGCAGCAGUAGGGAAUCUUCCGCAAUGGGCGAAAGCCUGACGGAGCAACGCCGCGUGAGUGAUGAAGGUCUUCGGAUAGUAAAACUCUGUUAUUAGGGAAGAACAAAUGUGUAAGUAACUAUGCACGUCUUGACGGUACCUACUCAGAAAGCCACGGCUAACUACGUG